GCCGAUGUCGCCGCUGCAUCUCCUCGCCGAUCCAUAGCCACCACCACCGCGAGACCCGUUGGCUUCCAUCGCGUGGCCAAUCCUGCUUCGUCUUCUUCCGUCAUCCAUCGUUGUUUCAGCUCUAAAUCAGUGGAGACAAUAGCGAAGAAGGAGGUGGAGGAUGUUAUGCCCAUUGCAACUGGACACGAGAAGGAGGAGCUUGAAGCUGAACUUGAGUGACUAUCUGUUCAAGCUUUCGCUUAUUGGUGACUCUGGUGUUGGAAAAUCCUGCUUGCUUCUAAGGUUUGAUAUUUUUGCAGGUGGAGCCAAGGUCACAAGAAGAAACAGAGCAUGUGACACAAAAAAAAUAGAGCCAUGUAUUCUGUAACCAGAGUCUUCACGUUUGUGAUCAGUGAACUCUUACCAUUUCUUUAUUAAAGAUUUUGUAUUCUCUUUUACCAUUUCACUGAGAAGAACAAGUGCUGAGUUAUUUUGUUUUUCUUA